AACGCACCUUGCGCUCCCUGGUAUUCCGGGGAGCACGCCUGUUCGAGUGUCGUGAAAUUUCUCAAGCUUGGAUGGAUUUUUCUGUCCUUAGUUUGGUUGUUGGGCUUUGCCGUGUCCUUCAUUGGAACGGCUGGCCUUAAAAGCAUUAGCUGAUCCUUGUGUGGCACUGGUUCUACUCAGCGUGAUAACAGUCUGAUCGUUGAGGACAUCUUUUGGGAUGGCCGGUCUUCAUUUGGGUUGCUUCUAAACCUGGUUUUUGCAGAUUGUUUCAAUCUGUAUUCCACUUUUCAGCUUUGACCUCGAAUCAGGUGGGACUACCCGCUGAACUUAA
rnacentral:misc_RNA from 1 species